AGAAUUUAUAAGAAUCCAAAAAUAGUUAAUUUCACUACGCGAUUGGAUAAUUUUGACGUUUGUGGUUCAACGUAUAUUGUAAUUCAUAAUAGAAAUAUAUCAUAAUGACAUAUAAUAGAACAAUAUCAUACUGACGGGAUCUUUUAAAGUACAGAGUCACGUAAUAAGAACAAAAGAAAUACAAAAAGUCGCAAAUACAAAACAAACCACAAAAAAAUAAUGAAAGCCAAUACAAACACAUUGACGAGAUGUAUAAGUACCGAGCCACGCGAAACGGAUAUCACAUGAAACCAUUCAACAGUAAAAGUAAUAUUAAUAAUAGAACAAAGACAAAUGAAAGAACUAUAAAACACGUUGUUAAGAUGAUAAACAACAUCAGUACGAAGAAUCUAUACAUCAAGACCAUCGUGUAUUAUUUGAGAAGUUGAUACGGAAUAUUUAUCAACAAGGUCUUGGUACCUUCCGAUGAACUUUUUUAGAAAAAGAGAA
rnacentral:lncRNA from 1 species